GCGCGAGUAGUUUAGUGGUAGAAUUCCAGAUUGCCAAUCUGGUGGCCCGGGUUCGAGUCCCGGCUCGCGCA
rnacentral:tRNA from 1 species